GGAGUUGUAGUUGGUCCGCCCGGGCCCCGCCCCUGGGCCGUGCGGUGACGCCACUUCAGGGCCGGCCCCCGGAACUUUUGGGCAGGCGUCAGCGCCCGUGUCACCGCCACGUCGCGGACAUGGUGAUUUCAGAAAGUAUGGAUAUACUCUUCAGAAUAAGAGGAGGCCUUGAUUUGGCUUUUCAGCUAGCUACUCCUAAUGAAAUUUUUCUCAAGAAGGCACUGAAACAUGUGUUGAGUGACCUGUCAACUAAGCUGUCUUCAAACGCCCUUGUGUUCAGAAUUUGCCACAGUUCAGUGUAUAUAUGGCCUAGCAGUGACAUAAACACCAUUCCUGGAGAACUGACUGAUGCUUCUGCUUGUAAGAACAUACUGCGCUUUAUUCAAUUUGAGCCAGAAGAAGAUAUAAAACGAAAAUUCAUGAGAAAGAAGGACAAAAAGUUAUCAGACAUGCAUCAAAUAGUAAAUAUAGAUCUUAUGCUGGAAAUGUCAACCUCCCUGGCAGCUGUAACGCCCAUCAUUGAAAGGGAAAGUGGAGGACACCAUUAUGUUAAUAUGACUUUACCUGUCGAUGCAGUUAUAUCUGUGGCUCCAGAAGAAACAUGGGGAAAAGUUCGUAAACUCCUGGUUGAUGCAAUUCAUAAUCAACUAACUGACAUGGAAAAAUGUAUUUUGAAAUAUAUGAAAGGAACAUCUAUUGUGGUCCCUGAACCACUGCACUUUUUAUUACCAGGGAAAAAAAAUCUUGUAACAAUUUCAUAUCCUUCAGGAAUACCAGAUGGCCAACUGCAGGCCUAUAGGAAGGAGUUACAUGAUCUCUUCAAUCUGCCUCACGACAGACCCUAUUUCAAAAGGUCUAAUGCUUAUCACUUUCCAGAUGAGCCAUACAAAGAUGGUUACAUUAGAAAUCCACAUACUUACCUUAAUCCACCUAACAUGGAGACUGGUAUGAUUUAUGUGGUCCAGGGCAUAUAUGGCUAUCAUCAUUAUAUGCAGGAUCGCAUAGAUGACAAUGGCUGGGGCUGUGCUUAUCGAUCUCUGCAGACUAUCUGCUCUUGGUUCAAACAUCAGGGAUACACAGAGAGGUCCAUUCCAACACACAGAGAAAUUCAGCAGGCUCUAGUCGAUGCCGGGGACAAACCAGCAACAUUUGUUGGAUCGCGGCAAUGGAUUGGAUCUAUUGAGGUGCAGCUGGUACUAAACCAAUUGAUCGGUAUAACGUCAAAAAUCCUGUUUGUCAGUAACACCCGAAAAAACAAGAAAGUAGGAAACAUUGUCUCCUAGCUCAUUAUUUGACCGUAGUGUUGGAAGUAGUUCAUCUGAUAGAAAAUGGUUUCUUUCUAGCCAAGGUUCAGAAAUUGCCUCUCAAGGACGGGAACUGGCUAAUCAUUUCCAAAGUGAAGGAACUCCAGUUAUGAUCGGGGGAGGAGUUUUGGCCCACACAAUACUAGGAGUUGCAUGGAAUGAGAUUACAGGGCAGAUAAAGUUUCUGAUUCUAGAUCCACAUUAUACCGGUGCUGAAGACCUGCAAGUUAUUUUGGAAAAGGGCUGGUGCGGAUGGAAGGGCCCAGAUUUUUGGAACAAGGAUGCAUACUAUAACUUAUGUCUUCCUCAGCGACCAAAUAUGAUUUAAAAUAUCUUGGAGUCAAAGACUGCAGUAGAGUGGUAUUAUAAAUUUGUGAAUAAAGAAUCAGUUUAAGUUUUCACAUUAAA